rnacentral:piRNA from 1 species
UGUUUGCUGUCUUCUGUCUCCUCAGG